rnacentral:rRNA from 1 species
UACGGAGGGUGCGAGCGUUGUCCGGAAUCACUGGGCUUAAAGGGCGCGUAGGCGGCUCGCGAGGUCGGGGGUGAAAUCCCACGGCUUAACCGUGGAAGUGCCUUCGAUACCGGCGGGCUGGAGGAAGGUAGGGGUGCGCGGAACUUCUGGUGGAGCGGUGAAAUGCGUUGAUAUCAGAAGGAACGCCGGCGGCGAAAGCGGCGCACUGGACCUUUUCUGACGCUGAGGCGCGAAAGCCAGGGGAGCAAACGGG